UUAUUUGGGGAGAGGGGAGAUUCAUGAUUUUUUGAGUAGCCUGUAAAAGAGAGAAAAAGGAAACGGGAAGAAAGAAAAAAAAAAAGAAGGGAAGAAAGAAUUUUUGAAAUUCUUUUCUUCCAGAGGUUUAUUUGCAAAAGAGUUUUUGCACUAUACAGACAUCAUCCUACCUUCCUGCAUUUCUUGGCGUGCGUGUGAAGUAGAGCGUCCGUACAUCCGGGCCUCGCAUAGCACCAGAUCCACCAGUACCAGAUCCGGCACCAGAUCCAGUUCUAGAUCCAGUUCCCGAUCCAGUACCAGAUCUAGCAUCCGAUCCAGUAUCUGAUCCAGCACUUGGCCCUGUACCAGAUUCUGUUCCAGAGUACCUCGACCAUCUUCCACUGCGGGAUCGAGGUAUGGUAAAUAUAAUAUAGUUAUGUUAUUUAUUUAUACCUGUUAUAAAUAAAUAGAUAAAAUUUUAAAACUGAUUUUCUGACCUGGCAUCCAUUUUUAUCGGAUUUUGCGGGAUAUUUUUCCUUCAAAACCCACCUCCCGAUAGCUGUCUAGCAUUUAUAUUAUCAGUAUGGUGUCUUAUUCUGCAUAUGCAUGUGAUAGAGGGGAGUUAUUGCUGGUUCACCUGGGGCGUAAAACCCACCUUCCGAUAGCUGUCUAGCAUUUAUAUUAUCGGUAUGG
rnacentral:lncRNA from 1 species